AUUCCAUGAUCAGGACAUUCUUCCAUGUAAUUCUAUAAUCUUUCCCAUGCUUUAGUGAAUGAUUCAUCAUAUUGUUGUUGGAAACUUGAAAUCGUCCCACACAGAGC
rnacentral:snoRNA from 1 species